rnacentral:rRNA from 1 species
UACGGGGGGGGCAAGCGUUGUUCGGAAUUACUGGGCGUAAAGGGCUCGUAGGCGGCCAACUAAGUCGGACGUGAAAUCCCUCGGCUCAACCGGGGAACUGCGUCCGAUACUGGAUGGCUCGAGUCCGGGAGAGGGAUGCGGAAUUCCAGGUGUAGCGGUGAAAUGCGUAGAUAUCUGGAGGAACACCGGUGGCGAAGGCGGCAUCCUGGACCGGCACUGACGCUGAGGAGCGAAAGCCAGGGGAGCAAACGGG